AGAGUUUGAUCCUGGCUCAGAACGAACGUUGGCGGCAUGGAUUAGGCAUGCAAGUCGAACGAAUGCCAUUUGGGAAACUGGAUGGCGGAAGUGGCGAAAGGGGCAGUAAUACAUGGAUAACCUACCCUGGGGAUGGGCAUAGCCGUUCUAACGAACGGGUAAUACCCAGCGAUUCGACGGGUCGGCAUCGAUCUGUCGGGAAAUGAAUUUCGCCUCGGGAGGGGUCCAUGCGAUAUCAGCUAGUUGGUGGGGUAACGGCCUACCAAGGCUUAGACGUCUAGCGGGUGUGAGAGCACGACCCGCGCCACUGGCACUGAGACACUGGCCAGACGCCUACGGGUGGCUGCAGUCGAGGAUCUUCGUCAAUGGGCGCAAGCCUGAACGAGCGAUGCCGCGUGAGCGAUGAAGGCCUUCGGGUUGUAAAGCUCAAAAGGGGUGAGAAAGGGAAACUUGAUCGAACCCCAGUAAGCUCGGGCUAAGUUCGUGCCAGCAGCCGCGGUAAGACGAACCGAGCGAACGUUGUUCGGAAUCACUGGGCUUAAAGGGCGCGUAGGCGGGUGCUCAAGUCCGUGGUGAAAUCCUCCGGCUCAACCGGAGAACUGCCUCGGAUACUGGGCGUCUCGAGUGUGGUAGGGGUAUGCGGAACUAUCGGUGGAGCGGUGAAAUGCGUUGAUAUCGAUAGGAACUCCGGUGGCGAAGGCGGCAUACUGGACCACUACUGACGCUGAUGCGCGAAAGCCAGGGGAGCAAACGGGAUUAGAUACCCCCGUAGUCC
rnacentral:rRNA from 1 species